rnacentral:rRNA from 1 species
UUCUUGCCUCAUUAUAAGAAGUAAUUCCUGCCCAGUGACUAAUAGUUUAACGGCCGCGGUAUCCUAACCGUGCAAAGGUAGCAUAAUCACUUGCCCGUUAAUUGCGGGCUAGAAUGAAAGGACUAACGAAAUAAAAUCUGUCUCUAUAAGCACACUAAAAAUUAAUCUCUAACUGAAGAGUGUUAGAUAAAGUCGAAGGACAAGAAGACCCUAUAGAGCUUCAUCCUAACAAAAAUUCAUAUUCUGCUAAGAUUCGGUUGGGGCGACCAGGGAAAUCGUAAAUCAUCCCUUUUUUGAGAUAAGUAAAUCCUGCUAAUGACCCUUAUACAAGAUCACCAGAAUAAGCUACCUUAGGGAUAACAGGCUAAUCCCACUAAAGAGUCCUUAUCAAUAGGGGGGUUUGGCACCUCGAUGUUGGCUUAGGGAAUCUAUGCGGCGCAAAAGUCACAUAAAGAUGGUUUGUUCAACCAAGAAUUCCCUACAUGAGCUGAGUUCAGACCGGCGUAAGCCAGGUUAGUUUCUAUCCUCGACAAAAGUACCUACUUAUAGUACGAAAGGACCUAAGUAAGGAUAAUAAUUAUAACUCCCGAAUAAAUAUAAGAUUACACUAAACUAUCAUAUUCAUACACUAUG